rnacentral:rRNA from 1 species
GAUGAACGCUGGCGGCGUGCCUAAUACAUGCAAGUCGAGCGAACAGACGAGGAGCUUGCUCCUCUGACGUUAGCGGCGGACGGGUGAGUAACACGUGGAUAACCUACCUAUAAGACUGGGAUAACUUCGGGAAACCGGAGCUAAUACCGGAUAAUAUAUUGAACCGCAUGGCUCAAUAGUGAAAGACGGUUUUGCUGUCACUUAUAGAUGGAUCCGCGCCGCAUUAGCUAGUUGGUAAGGUAACGGCUUACCAAGGCGACGAUGCGUAGCCGACCUGAGAGGGUGAUCGGCCACACUGGAACUGAGACACGGUCCAGACUCCUACGGGGGGCAGCAGUAGGGAAUCUUCCGCAAUGGGCGAAAGCCUGACGGAGCAACGCCGCGUGAGUGAUGAAGGUCUUCGGAUCGUAAAACUCUGUUAUUAGGGAAGAACAAAUGUGUAAGUAACUAUGCACGUCUUGACGGUACCUAAUCAGAAAGCCACGGCUAACUACGUG